UACGUAGGGGGCAAGCGUUAUCCGGAUUUACUGGGUGUAAAGGGAGCGUAGACGGCAUAGCAAGUCUGAAGUGAAAGCCCGUGGCUCAACCGCGGAACUGCCUUGGAAACCGUUAAGCUGGAGUACUGGAGAGGCAAGCGGAAUUCCUAGUGUAGCGGUGAAAUGCGUAGAUAUUAGGAGGAACACCAGUGGCGAAGGCGGCUUGCUGGACAGAGACUGACGUUGAGGCUCGAAAGCGUGGGGAGCAAACAGG
rnacentral:rRNA from 1 species